rnacentral:rRNA from 1 species
UAGGGAAUCUUCGGCAAUGGGGGGAACCCUGACCGAGCAACGCCGCGUGAGUGAAGAAGGUUUUCGGAUCGUAAAGCUCUGUUGUUAAGGAAGAACGAGAGUGAGAAUGGAAAGUUCAUACUGUGACGGUACUUAACCAGAAAGGGACGGCUAACUACGUGCCAGCAGCCGCGGUAAUACGUAGGUCCCGAGCGUUGUCCGGAUUUAUUGGGCGUAAAGCGAGCGCAGGCGGUUAGAAAAGUCAGAAGUGAAAGGCAGUGGCUCAACCAUUGUAUGCUUUGGAAACUGUUUAACUUGAGUGCAGAAGGGGAGGGUGGAAUUCCAUGUGUAGCGGUGAAAUGCGUAGAUAUAUGGAGGAACACCGGUGGCGAAAGCGGCUCUCUAGUCUGUAACUGACGCUGAGGCUCGAAAGCGUGGGGAGCGAACAGG